rnacentral:rRNA from 1 species
UACGUAGGGGGCUAGCGUUGCUCGGAAUGACUGGGCGUAAAGGGCGCGUAGGCGGCUUGCACCGUCAGAUGUGAAAUUCCUGGGCUUAACCUGGGGGCUGCAUUUGAUACGUGUGGGCUUGAGUGCGGAAGAGGGUCGUGGAAUUCCCAGUGUAGAGGUGAAAUUCGUAGAUAUUGGGAAGAACACCCGUGGCGAAGGCGGCUCUCUGGAACGCAACUGACGCUGAGACGCGAAAGCGUGGGGAGCAAACAGG